rnacentral:rRNA from 1 species
GAUGAACGCUGGCGGCGUGCUUAACACAUGCCAGUCGAACGGGAUCCAAGGGGUGCUUGCACUUUUUGGUGAGAGUGGCGAACGGGUGAGUAACACGUGAGUAACCUGUCCUUUUCUUUCGGAUAAGCAUUCGAAAGGGUGUUUAAUACCUUAUGUUCUGUCUGCCUCGCAUGGGGUGGGUGGGAAAGGCUUUGGCCGGAUUUGGGUGGGCUCGCGGUCUAUCAGCUUGUUGGUGGGGUGAUGGCUUACCAAGGCUUUGACGGGUAGCCGGCCUGAGAGGGUGACCGGCCACAUUGGGGCUGAGAUACGGCCCAGACGGCAACGGGAGGCAGUAGUGGGGAAUAUGGCACAAUGGGCGGAAGCCUGAUGCAGCAACGCCGCGUGCGGGAUGACGGCCUUCGGGUUGUAAACCGCUUUCGCCUGUGACGAAGCGUGAGUGACGGUAAUGGGUAAAGAAGCACCGGCUAACUACGUG